CAGCGGGCGGCCCCGCUGCGGGGAGGUCCCGUUCUCGGCGGUGAAAGGAUGGAAAGGGAAAUAAAGGGAGGCAGCAGGGAUGUGGACAAACAAGAGUGAAGCCACCACGUGAGAGGACAGAGGAGACCUGGGGCAUGAGCAGGGGAACAUCAAGGCUGAUGGAGAGCCUGUGAGAAAGAUGUGAAUCUGGAUUUGGCAAAUGGCAAGGCUACAGACAUCAGCAAGGGAUGGAACACUCACUGAGGCCUUGUGCAGGGAUCGGAAGGAGCCGGGCGGUGCUCUGUCACCCCGGAGGAAUGUGAGCCCUGCCGGCUGGCAGAUAACACCUCGUCCGCAGCAGCGUUGGAGGAGCAGGCAGCCACCACAGAACGAACGAUGUUGCAAUCGGAGCACAGCGUGUGCCUGGUACUUCAGGAGUGUUCCCAGCGAGACACCAAGGGAGGAGGUCCACAAACCUGCCUGGCAGAUGGAGGCUGUCCUGUGUGAGCCGGGAGCAGCUUGCUAGGCUGCCUCUGGCAUGGCUGGGGUUGAGGUUUGGCUUGUGUCAUGUUUGCUCCAAACCAAUUCAGUGUUUGGGUAGAUUUGAGUUGGGAUUCCAGAGAGCCUCAGCUUGGGAGGUGUCUGUACUGCUCAGCUGGGCACAGCACAGGGGGCCCUUGGUUGCCCAUAGGUUGGGGGCCCCAGCCUGUUACUGGGACCAGGAGGUGCAGCACAGAGAUGCCAGCCCAGGUCUCCAAGGCAGCAGGACCUGUUGCUGCUCAGACUUGCCUCAAGCAGCUCCUGUGGCUCCAGAUCCUGCUCAGCUGCAAGCAGCAGCAGCUACUGUGAUAUAAAGAAAUCCCUUGUUUUUGAAGUGGUGGUGGGGUUGAAGUGCCUCCUUCCUUGUCCCCUUCGAGAGUGCUGACACAUGAGCAGGCCUGUAGGGAUGAAGGCAAUGCACAGCCUCAAAACUUGCCAGAGCUCCAGAAGUGUUUGGACAAUGCUUUCAGCCACAUGGUGGGAAUGUUGGGGUGUCCUGUGCAAGGCUAGGAGUUGGGCUAGAUGUUUGUGGACCACUUCCAGCUCAGGAGAUUCUGUGAAUUCCUGUGAGGCAGCAGAAGUGUGAGCAUAUGGUCAAAUGCAUGUGGCCACACUUCUGCAGUCCUCCAGAGUGUCUGGGGAGGUCAUCCCUCCACUGCCUCUGCUGAUGAUCUGGGGCUGAGCUCCCAGUGAGGGAUGAGAUCAGGGGGUCCCUUGGCGAAGCCAUGUCAGACCGAGCAGCUGGCAUGGGCCUUGAUGAAUCAACUAAAGAACUUUGUCUGAAGCUGUCCUGAAAAUGAAUGUUUCUGAAAGGUGGUGGGGGUAUGUGACUGGCAGCCAGAUGGUU